CCCUUAGAUGUUCUGGGCCGCACGCGCGCUACACUGAUGCAUUCAACGAGCCUAGCCUUGACCGAGAGGUCCGGGUAAUCUUUGAAACUGCAUCGUGAUGGGGCUAGAUUAUUGCAAUUAUUAAUCUUCAACGAGGAAUGCCUAGUAAGCGUGAUUCGUCAAAUCGCGUUGAUUACGUCCCUGCCCUUUGUACACACCGCCCGUCGCUCCUACCGAUUGAGUGUGUUGGUGAGGAGUUCGGAUUGGCUCUUAGUGGUGGUUCGCCACCACCUAGAGCUGAGAAGUUCUCCAAACCGCCCCACUUAGAGGAAGGAGAAGUCGUAACA
rnacentral:rRNA from 1 species